AACGAACGCUGGCGGCAGGCCUAACACAUGCAAGUCGAGCGGGGUUUUCGGACCUAGCGGCGGACGGGUGAGUAAUGCGUAGGAAGCUGCCCGAUAGAGGGGGAUACCAGUUGGAAACGACUGUUAAUACCGCAUAAUGUCUACGGACCAAAGUGUGGGACCUUCGGGCCACAUGCUAUCGGAUGCGCCUACGUGGGAUUAGCUAGUUGGUGAGGUAAUGGCUCACCAAGGCGACGAUCUCUAGCUGGUUUGAGAGGAUGAUCAGCCACACUGGAACUGAGACACGGUCCAGACUCCUACGGGAGGCAGCAGUGGGGAAUAUUGGACAAUGGGCGCAAGCCUGAUCCAGCCAUGCCGCGUGUGUGAAGAAGGCCUUCGGGUUGUAAAGCACUUUCAGCGAGGAGGAAGGGGUGUGUGUUAAUAGUACACACCUUUGACGUUACUCGCAGAAGAAGCACCGGCUAACUCUGUGCCAGCCGCCGCGGUAAAAC
rnacentral:rRNA from 1 species